GGAAUUUUGGACAAUGGGCGCAAGCCUGAUCCAGCCAUGCCGCGUGUGGGAAGAAGGCCUUCGGGUUGUAAACCACUUUUGUCAGGGAAGAAACGGCUUAAUCUAAUAAGUUGAGCUAAUGACGGUACCUGAAGAAUAAGCACCGGCUAACUACGUGCCAGCAGCCGCGGUAAUACGUAGGGUGCAAGCGUUAAUCGGAAUUACUGGGCGUAAAGCGUGCGCAGGCGGCUAUGCAAGACAGAUGUGAAAUCCCCGGGCUCAACCUGGGAACUGCAUUUGUGACUGCAUGGCUAGAGUACGGCAGAGGGGGAUGGAAUUCCGCGUGUAGCAGUGAAAUGCGUAGAUAUGCGGAGGAACACCGAUGGCGAAGGCAAUCCCCUGGGCCUGUACUGACGCUCAUGCACAAAAGCGUGGGGAGCAAA
rnacentral:rRNA from 1 species